rnacentral:rRNA from 1 species
GAUGAACGCUGGCGGCGUGCCUAACACAUGCAAGUCGAACGAAGCUUGACGGAUGAUUUCUUCGGAAUGAAACCUGAUAUGACUUAGUGGCGGACGGGUGAGUAACACGUGAGCAACCUGCCUUUCAGAGGGGGAUAACGGCUGGAAACGGUCGCUAAUACCGCAUGAUGUGUUCGGAUGGCAUCAUCUGAACAUCAAAGAUUUAUCGCUGAAAGAUGGGCUCGCGUCUGAUUAGAUAGUUGGUGGGGUAACGGCCUACCAAGUCUACGAUCAGUAGCCGGACUGAGAGGUUGAACGGCCACAUUGGGACUGAGAUACGGCCCAGACUCCUACGGGAGGCAGCAGUGGGGAAUAUUGCACAAUGGGGGAAACCCUGAUGCAGCAACGCCGCGUGAAGGAUGACGGUUUUCGGAUUGUAAACUUCUUUUCUUAGUGACGAAGACAGUGACGGUAGCUAAGGA